rnacentral:rRNA from 1 species
GACAGAGGGUGCAAACGUUGUUCGGAAUUACUGGGCGUAAAGCGUGUGUAGGCGGCUACGUAAGUCGGAUGUGAAAGCCCCAGGCUCAACCUGGGAAGUGCACUCGAUACUGCGUAGCUUGAGUAUCGGAGAGGUUGGUGGAAUUCUCGGUGUAGAGGUGAAAAUUCGUAGAUAUCGAGAGGAACACCGGUGGCGAAGGCGGCCAACUGGACGAAUACUGACGCUGAGACACGAAAGCGUGGGGAGCAAACAGG